UACGAAGGGGGCUAGCGUUGCUCGGAAUCACUGGGCGUAAAGCGCACGUAGGCGGAUUUUUAAGUCAGGGGUGAAAUCCUGGAGCUCAACUCCAGAACUGCCUUUGAUACUGGGAAUCUCGAGUCCGGGAGAGGUGAGUGGAACUGCGAGUGUAGAGGUGAAAUUCGUAGAUAUUCGCAAGAACACCAGUGGCGAAGGCGGCUCACUGGCCCGAUACUGACGCUGAGGCACGAAAGCGUGGGGAGCAAACAGG
rnacentral:rRNA from 1 species